GGACUACCGGGGUAUCUAAUCCUGUUCGCUCCCCACGCUUUCGCGUCUCAGCGUCAGUACCGUCCCAGAGAGCCGCCUUCGCCACGGGUGUUCUUCCUGAUAUCUGCGCAUUCCACCGCUACACCAGGAAUUCCACUCUCCUCUUCCGGACUCUAGCGAGGCAGUUUCCCGCGACCGCCUGCGGUUGAGCCGCAGGAUUUCACGCGAGACUUGCCAAGCCGCCUACACGCUCUUUACGCCCAAUGAUUCCGGACAACGCUUGCCCCCUACGUAUUACCGCGGCGGCUGGCAC
rnacentral:rRNA from 1 species